GAGGUGGUCUCAUUGUGGGUAUGGAUCUGUCGUUGUGGUAUAUGUUUGGUAUCAUUCCCCUGAUCUCCAUAAUCACAGGCAUAAUAAUAUUACUCGGUGAUCCAACUGUUAACAAGUGGUUGCUGAUUCCCGACACGAUUCUCAUGAUUUUGUGGGGCAUGGUUGCUCAUCCGGUUCUGCUGGCAUCUAUUAUUUAUUGGUAUCGUGACAUGCCUUUCCGUUUAAUUGGUGCCAAGGCCAAAUUUAAGCUCGAGGUCAUUCCUAUGAUAAUUGCAGCAGCCUUUCAUCACCUUUUGGAGUUCAAUUAUGGGUAUUUCUGUCUAAUACUAGGUUUCACGACAUAUUUCUAUACCAUUGCGCACUUCAUGCACGCAGCGUAUGAUAUUGGAGGAAAAGACGUAUUGUUGGGAUUAGUAAUGCCGGUUCUUGCUUACUUUCUCAAGGGAGGAUUGCUAGUUAGAGGUUUGGGUUUGAGCUUGUGUGUUGUAUUGUGUUUCUAUAGAUAUGUGACGUAUUCUGCUCCUGAAGUACCUGAGCAUGGUAAAAAGGAGUUGGAGCGGUUGCCUUGCUGACUGAGGACCAACCCAUCCAGAAUACGGACCAACGGUACUUCUAUGGCUCUUCUCAUUACCUUACUUGGUGCUAUCUUUGUUUUCGGCCUUUAUGAUUUCACGCAUGUAUUUACGAUGAGGUUAGUUAACUGUAUCACCCAUUUUGGAGUGAGGUGUGUUUGGUGCAUAGUAUUUUUGUUUAUGGUGAUAUUAAUUGGAAGAAAAGUGUAUAUUUAUGUCGACUGAAAAAUCAUAUUUAUAUUAUGCACAGUGUACUGAAAAAACUUAUGCAGAGUGUACUGAAAUUGACAAGGAAGGAAGAUUGGAGCUGGGAGAUCUCUAACAACUUUUGUACCUACUGGAGCAUACCAGAUGCUGAUAAAAAUGAUGGGACUGGACCUCUGUAAGCCUCUACUACUUUUGCAGUAGUAGUAUGUGUUUUGAAGCCAAACUAUGGAAAUGUUUGAUUUGUCUUUCGAUGGAGUUCGUGUUUGUUUGAAUAAUUGUACUUUAAAUAUUACCCAAAAUAAAUUUUUAUAUACAAAAAUGAAUUAAUUUAUUCAAUCACUUUAUACGUUAUUCUUCACAUUUUAGGAGGUUUUUAUAGUGUUUGCUAUCAUUUACUUACGUUUGUGCUAAUUGUCGUAUAACUGGCGAAUUCUUUGAAUCAUAAAAAUGACGAAAUCAGUAGAUAUUGAAUUUGAAAUAUUUUACCACACGUAUCUUAAAAGUGCGAUCUUAAAACUAUAAACUCUAAUUUGAAGCAAUGAGCAGAUAGGCUUGACAAAGUUUAGAAAGAGUUUUUUAUCGUUCUAUCGUUUGCACAAAAUUCUAUUUAUCUUCAUUUCAAUUAACGUAUUAUAUUCCGUCACGAUCUAUAAAUUAGUAGGGUCAAUGAUACUAAUACUUUAUUAAGUACUUCAUCUUCAUGUACUAUUGGUAGCUAAAUCUUUUAAUGAUUGCUUCUUCUUUUUUCCCUUUUCGAUUGGUGGUUUUUUAUGGUUAAAACUAUUAAAUGUUAUUGACUCAAUAUAUAGGCCUGAACAUAUUAAAAACAAUGGUAUAGUUUUUAAUCACUGAAUUUUGAUUGUGACACAAUUUUGAAAUUGAAAAUUAAAGUAAUUUUUUCAUUUCAUGGGUACUUACAUUACGUUAAUUUUUACCAACCAUAUUUUCUAAUCAACUCAGAUGGAGGAGGAUUAUAUUUAGGAGCAAAAUAGAAACCAUCUUCUUCAAUUAACCAAUAACAUAUUCCUGAGUCAUAUCCUCCUUCAACACCACAAUUUCCGCUAUCUAUGUACACUUUAAAUGCAACAUCUUUUGUACCCCAUCAAAAAUGACAAAAGAACACCGUCUCAUGAAGUAGAUUUGACCUGAACUUGAAAUGAAAAUCAUCGUUGAAUUUAGGAUAAUGCAUUCCAAGAUCGUCAUUUCCAGAUGCACAAUGAAAUUUGAUUGGAGGAUCAUUUUUUUCAACACCAUCAACUAUAUGACAUUUGUUUGUUGAAUAAAUAACAUUUGUUUGUUGAAUAAAUAAUAAAAUUGAUAAAACCAAUAAGGAAGAAACACUAUUUUAUUGCAAUCAUUUAGCAUAUAACAAUGUAGGAAGUAAUUUUUAACUAUUAAUACCAUUUACAAUAGUUUGGACUUUAUAAUAUUGACGACUAAAAAGAAAGAGAAGAAGUAUUACAUACAAGGUUGGAUUUUUUGACUAAUGAUUUUUUAUUUAUUUUUAGUAUUUUGGGUAGUAAUGAUCUAUGGUAGUUAGAUCAUCUUCUAAUUAAUAAUAUUUAUAGGUAACAAGAGUCUUAGAUGCACGCACUUCCUUCUCCUAUAACAAGUGUUUUUCAACAAAAAAAAAAAAUCCAAACUUGGUAAAAUUUUCUACCCUAAUUUUAACAACCUUGAAUUUUGUAUUGUCAAUCUUGUUUGUUUAUUACUACAGCUUACAUACAGUUUGAAGAUAGAUGUAAGUUACCACUACUAAUUUUGUCUUAAAUUAGCACAUUAAUAGAGAUAUACUUAUCUCUUUAAUUUGUUGUUUGACGAUAUAUUCUGCUAGCUGGGCCUCGAUGGGUGAUGAAGUUGUCGAAGUUGUCUCUGCUGGUGGUGAUGAAGUUGUCGAAGUUGUCGCCUCUGCUGGUGAUGAAGUUGCCUCUGUGGUUACAUCUGUCAAGAAUUUUAAGUGGAUCAUGCCCUGGGCUGAACAUCCUCGUAAGUUGAUCAGUUCCUUUGAACUUGUUUUAUUCCCUUUAAUUGCUACCAAGGCCAAUUUUAUGAUAAUUAUUGCAGCAGCCUUUCGAUCUAAUGCUAGGCUUCACCACAUAUUUCAUGCACACAUCCUAUAUAUGAUUUAAUUUGGAGGAAAAACACGGGAGAAUUGUGUUUCUAUAGAUAGAUACGUAAUGUAUGCUGGAGUUGCCUGCCUUGCUGAUGAUGUGAAAGACGACUAAUUUUAUAGUUUCCUGUUUGCUCUCCAUUUGGUUAGGGCUUUUGUAUCAGUUCAUCUUGAAUCUUAUGAUGGAUCAACAACUACAUGAAUUGUACCUUACAUAAUUGAGUUACAAUCCUUUCUUGUUUGAUUAUAUAUGCAGCUAGCCCCCCCAUGGCCAACCACAUUAUGCUUUUAUUUGUUUUAUCAUGUAUGCGCAGAGAAAAUACCAAAAUUUCUUUUUGGACAAUGUUUAGUCUUUGUAGUAGUGAUGCUUGUUCAUUGUCUUGGUGUGCUCAAUGAAGUGUGUUUUUUUGUAACUUCCAUUCUUUUUUUCUCAGGUGGUCUCAUUGUGGGUAAGGAUAUGUGGUCGUGGGUUAUGUUUGGUAACAUUCCCCAGUGCUCCAUAAUGAUGGGCAUACCGAUAUUACUCGGUGAUCCAACUAUUAACAAUUGGUUGCUGAUUCCCGACAUGAUUCUCAUAAUUUUUGUCAUGCUUACUCAUCAUGCUCUGCUGAUAUCUAUUAUUUAUUGGUGUCGUGACAUGCCUUUCCGUUUAAUUGGUGCCAAGGCCAAAUAUAAGCUCGAGGUCAUUCCUAUGAUAAUUGCAGCAGCCUUUCAUCACCUUUUGGAGUUCAAUUUUUUGGAGUUCAAUUAUGGGUAUUUCUGUCUAAUACUAGGCAUCACGACAUAUUUCUAUACCAUUGUGCACUUCAUGCGCGUAGCGUAUGAUAUUGGAGGAAAAGACGUAUUGUUUGGAUUAAUAAUGUUGGUUCUUGCUUACUUUCUCAAGGGAGGAUUGUUAGUUAGAGGUUUGGGUUUGAGCUUGUGUGUUGUAUUGUGUUUCUAUAGAUAUGUGACGUAUUCUGCUCCUGAAUUACCUGAGCAUGGUAAAAAGGAGUUAGAGCGGUUGCCUUGCUGACUGAUGAUGUGAUGGAGGACCAACCCAUCCAGAAUACGGACCAAUGGUACUUCUAUGAGUCUUCUCAUUACCUUACUUGGUGUUACUGUUACUGUAAUAUAUUUGUUGUCGGCCUUUAUGAUUUCACGCAUGUAUUUAUGACUGUUCUACGUUGUUUAUGAUUUACCAUAGGAUCUUGAGAACAAGAGAGCUCAAGUAACAUAUGAGAGGAGAAAGCAGUUAGCAAAACGUUGCUGAGGAGAAGCUUGGUCGUCCUCAACUCAUGGUCAUAUUACUCAUAUAAUUAGCGAUAAAAACCUUUAAAAACUAUAAAUAAAAUUUAAUUGCAGAUGACUAUCAUAAAUUUAUAAAAUAUUAAUUCAUUUUGAUGGCCCAUUAGUUCUCCAAUAACACAAAAUAGAUUUUAUUUCUUAUUAUAAUUAUCAAGUCUCAAUUUUUUUCAAAGCAAAUAUCAUCAUUAAUUGAUCUAUUCCUUGUUUGAUAUUAUGAUUUUAAAAAAAUAUAAAAUUAAAAUGUCAUAGUCAUUGAAUUAAAUAGUAAGACAACAAAUUUCAACAAUAUCCUGAAGCUCCAAAAUCGACAUCAAAUUAAACGCAUAUACAGGCGAAAUAAAUGCGUUAAAAAAAUCUAGACUAAUAAAUAAAAUUCAUAAAAAGACAUAAACUCUAUUUAUCAAUUAUAUUUAAUUCAUAUAACUAAGAAUAAACUUUCAAAAAGCAAUUAAGAAUUAAGAAAAAAAUUAUCAUAGAAUGUUAUAAAUAAACUCAUAGAUACACACAAAAAGGGAGAAAUCUUACUAAUUAAAUUUGCCAGGAGAUGACAUUGCUGGGAAAAACACAUGCAUAUAGAUAUAUUAGAGUGAGAGUUUGUAAAAAUUAAAUUUACUGCCGUAACGGAAACAAAUUUUAAUUGUUUAUUUAACAAAGUGAAGUGAUAGAUCCAUUGGUUGCUAAUGAUUGAUUAUUGCUAGAAAGUUUUUGAAUGAAAGAAAAAUCAUUUGGUAUGAACUGAUAUACUACCAUUAAGAAUAAUGCUAAAUAAUUUAUAUUCCGUAGCUGCUAAUUUGUGGGAUGUGGAUAAUGACUAAGAAUUUAUUUCUUAUUUCUUAUUAUAAUUUUAUUGAUUCUGUUUUUUUUUUUGUUAUAAUUUUAGUGAUUUUUCUUUGUCAUGCUGACAAUUUUAUCUCUUCUAUUUUUAAAAAAUAAAGUAAAUGCGUGACUUUGUAGUUAUUUCAGUAGUUAGAUUUGCAUUUUAUUAGGAACAAACAUAUUUUUUUUUUUUAAUUAUUUAAAAAGAGACCACUUCAAACGUACAUGAAUGCUUAAAACUGUUUUAAUUUUUUAUUUAAUAUAUCUAUAAAUUAAAUUGUUGUAUUUAUUAUUUAAUAUAUUUAGAAAUUAUGCGGUGCUGACAAGUGACACUAUUUCCUCUCCUAUUAUAUAUAGAUAGAUUUUAACAACCUUGAUUUUUGUAUUGUCAAUCUUGUUUUGCAAUUUGUGCUUGAUGAAAUUGUUUGUUUAUUACUACUACUGGUUUGAUAGAUGUAAGUUACAACUACUAAUUAGCGGCUAGGAUCCACAUUAAUUAACAGAGAUAUACUACUACUCAUGGGUGAUGAAGUUGUCUCUCUGUUCCUCCUCCGCACAUGGACGCUUUCCUCUGAAAACUUGAAGACCGUGGUUAGAUCUGUAAAGAAUUUUAGGUGGAUCAUGCCCUGGGUUGAACAUUCUCGUAAGUUGAUCAUUUCCUUUGAACUUGUUUUAUUAAUUCCGUUUAAUUUCUUCCAAGGCCAAUUUCAUUCCUAUCAUAAUUAUUAUUGCAGCAUCCAGCCUUUUCGAGUUCAAUUAUGAGUAUUUCUAUCUAAUGCUAAAUUGUGUAAUGGACAACGAUAUACUUCUUGUCCUUUUGUAGAUGUAUCUCUUUCUUGUUUGAUGAUAUAUGCAGCUAGACCAACCACAUUAUCCUUUUAUUAGUUUUAACAUGUAUGCGCAGAGAAAAUACCAAAAUUUCUAACAGUUUUUAGUCAUUGUCUUGGUGUGCUCAAUGCUGUGUGUUUUUUUGUAACUUCCAUUCUUUUUUUCUCAGAUGGUUCCAUUGUGGGUAAGGAUAUGUGGUCGUGGUAUUUCUUUAGUAGCAUUCCCCUGUGCUCCAUAAUCAUGGGCAUACUGAUAUUAAUGGGUGAUCCAAAUGUUAACAAUUGGUUGGUGAUUCUCGAUGCGAUUCUCAUGUUUUUGGGAGUUCUUACUCAUCUGGCUCUGCUGACAUCUAUUUUUUAUUGGUAUCGUGACAUGCCUUUCCGUUUAAUUGGUGCCAAGGCCAAAUUUAAGCUCGAGGUCAUUCCUAUGAUAAUUGCAGCAGCCUUUCAUCACCUUUUGGAGUUCAAUUAUGGGUAUUUUCUUCUAAUACUAGGCUUCACGACAUAUUUCUAUAUCAUUGCGCACUUCAUGCGCGCAGCGUAUGAUAUUGGAGGAAAAGACGUAUUGUUGGGAUUAGUAAUGCUGGUUCUUGCUUACUUUCUCAAGGGAGGAUUGUUAGUUAGAGGUUUGGGUUUGAGCUUGUGUGUUGUAUUGUGUUUCUAUAGAUAUGUGACGUAUUCUGCUCCUGAAGUACCUGUGCAUGGUAAAAAGGAGUUGGAGCGGUUGCCUUGCUGACUGAUGAUGUGAUGGAGGACCAACCCAUCCAGAAUAAGGACCAACGGUACUUCUAUGGCUCUUCUCAUUACCUUACUUGGUGUUAUUGUAAUAUCUUUGUUGUCGGCCUUAUGUAUUUACGAUGAGGUUAGUUAACUACCCAUUUAGAGUGAGGUGUGUUUGGUGCAUGGUAUUUUUUCUUAUGGUGAUAUUAAUGUGUAAUUUCAAAACAAUGAUAAUAGAGGAAAUAUUUUGCAAUCUAAUUAUCUUGGAAGACCUUUUUGGAAAUGUAGCCAAGACACGUUUAUCUUUUUUUCUAUAGAGCCUUGCCAACUUACUCAACAUUUUAACUAUUCUCUGUAGUAGGAAAAAACUGAACUUGAUCUUGUUUUCAGUACAUAUAUUCAUAAAGUAAAGAAAACUGAAUGUAUGUUGUUUCGAGCUGAUGCUUGGGUCUGGUUAAGCUGCAUGCAUAACACUCCUUUGGUGUUUGGCCCUUUUCCUUUCCUGGACUCUGUGUGCACGAUGAUCAAGUUCAAUAAGUGAAAACAAAACUUGAUCUUGUUUUCCGUACAUACAUUUAAAAAGAGGAAAAAACGGAACUCGAUCUUGUAUUCAGUACAUACAUUCAAAAAGUGAAUAUCUUUAAUUUGUACUGGCAAAGCUGAAAUAGUUGACACAUUUUCAGUAAGUAAACUCAAAGUGGAUUUUUGUAUUCAUUUUGAUGUAUUUAUGAAGUUACAGUGGUACACAACUUUUAGAUAGCCCCAUGAGCCGUGACAUAUAUAACAUAUUUUUGAUGCAGUUUAUGUUGUUGGAGUAAAAAUUCAGGGGGUAUUUGUGUUAUGCUGUUGAUAGUUUGUGCAGUAAUGUAUUUAUCUGUAGAUAAUAAAAUGUUCAUUUAUUUUUAUUUGUGUUCACUAACUUGUGAAGAAAAAUAUUUGUACUAGCUAGUAUAUUCAACGUCCUUUCUGUCUAGGAUAUGUCCAAGUAAUGCAACAUUGUUUAAUUUUAUGUUGAUUGAUAUGGAGUUUCUCACAAGAGACUUGCAUCGCAUGGUGUACUGUACUAUACAAGUGUGAAUUAAGAUAAACUCUAGUUUUUGAAAACCAUUUGCAUCAAUCAAUUCUCUCCCUGGUGUUAUUCCUCUUUUUGCUUUGCCCUUGUUCAUCUAAUUUUCUGCUUGCAUUUGCAUCGAUGGUGACUGUUCUCCGUUGAUUAUGAUUUACCACAGGACAGGAGUAACAUAUGAGAGAAGAAAGCAGUUAGCAAAACGUUGCUGAGGAGAAGCUUGGUCCUCAACUCAUGGUUAUUGCUCCCUCCAAUCAAGUUGAAAUAUUGUUUGUUUUGACAUUAGUAUGUUCCUUGUUAGGGGAUGCACUUUGCAUUUUUUUAGCAAUAUUUUUGUCAUUUGAUUUUUUUUUUUUUUUUGCUAUAACAUAGGGAAAGUUUUUCUUAAAUGAAUCUUAACAUAUAAUUGGAAGAAACUUAUGCAGAGUGUCGAACCAUAAACUGAAAAAUCAUAUUUAUAUUAUGCAGGGUGUACUGAAAAAACUUAUGCAGAGUGUACUGACCUUUGUACCUACUGGAGCAUCUAAAAAUGAUGGGACUGGACCUUUGUUUCUACUUCACUAAGCCUCUACUACUUUUGCAGUAGUAGUAUCAAUGUGCUUUGAAGCCAAACUAUGGAAAUGUUUGUUUGAAUAAUUGUAAGGCUGUGAAUGGAAAGACUACCAGGCCUUUUGUAUUGUUGAUACUAAUAAGUCUUCCAAGUUUUAAUUGUUGCUACUUUCUACAACUGUUCAUGAGAGCUUGGGGCUUAGCUUUGCAGUGUUCAUGAAUUAAUUCGACUUAAUUACUACAUGUUGUACUCAGUGAAUUGAACUCUUAAAAGGGAAAAAAAAAGUUUGUAAAAACUGACCUGAGCCAUGUUUGAACUAAAAUGUAAGAAACCUGUUUUCUUGACACUUAGUAAGUUUUUUCGAGUGUGAAAGUUUGCAUAGUACUUGGUUCUUACUUACGUAUUAAGAAUUCAUUUAAUCAAGAAGUAAUCCUUACUGGUGGUUGAUCACGUAGAGAUGAUGUUACAUAUCCAAUGUAAUUCCUAAGUGGAUUCUGGGGAGAAUAGUGUGUACGCACCUUGAGUAGAAAGACUGUUUCGAUUGACUCUUGGCUCAAGUAAAAUAUCAAAAAUCAAUUAUGUAGAACAAUGAUCUCGAGUUGUGUUUGGUGAUUUUGAAUCAUCCAUAUUCAUCGCCUUGCAAUUGGGCAUCUUUAAAGUCUCUUUAGGUUGGCAUAUCAAAAAAAGUUGUAAUCAUGUACAAGGAUAUUAGGGAAUUUAGCCACCUUCAUCAACCUUUUUAGUUUGGUUUGAGGAAAAAAAAAUCAUUUUUUUCGUGUUAGUUGAGACAAUUUGCCUCAGUUUUCACCACAGGCCAUUUGCCUCUGGCAUGGCACAUAUAUACCAUAUAAGCUCCAAGAGAUUAUGUAAAUUAACAUUACAAUACUACUAAAAGAAGUGGAAAAAUUCAAAGUGAUGGUAAUGUGGAAAACAAUCUUUAGGAAAAGCCACUUUCAUAAUGUAAUUGGAAAAAAAAGAUAGAUGAUGAUUGAAAUAUUGGAGACAAGGAGGUCUAUUCAGUAAAAUGAUCUGAACCAACUAAUAGAGAACAUGAACUUGCAUAGUAAAUCCCAACUAGUAUGCAGAUAGGAGGGAGAAUGCUAAUAGCGUUAAAGCAAAUCCUGUAACAUCAUCUUAAACGUGUUGCACAGAUUUUGCAGAUACAAUUUUAUUCCAAUGAGGAAAGAAAUCCAAAGGGAAGUAUGAACUACUCCACUGACAUGAACCAUAGUCAAGGUGCAUGCAAGUUGAUCCGGAUACCAUUAAUGAAGACCAAUGACCACCCAAUAUAGGUACAGAGUCUUAGACUUAAAGCUAAAAAGCAAAGUUAGAAAGGAAAUGACUUGCAAACAAACUGCAGAUUAAGUGGUGGAAUUAAAGAGUAGUAAACAGUUAGUGUUUCAAGGAAAACUGUGGAAGUCACGUAAGAGGAAAACUAUGCCAUAGAGCUUUUGCCAAAUUGAAAACGGUUUGCAUGGUUCUGUAUCCUGUAAGUGCUAUUUGAACCACUUCUGCUGCUGCCUUUGCUUGUUAUUUUUUCACAGUUUAAUGCAUCUUGAAUCAAUAAAGUUUUGAUUGGUACCUAGAGAAAGGAAGAGAAGGUCGUAGAACUUUUUUUGUUUGACAAGAGAGUGAAAAAAAGAAAGUGAAGCAGAAAAUUAUUUUUAUUUCCCUCUUUUCCUUUCCCUAGUUUCCAUCACAGGAUAAACAUAAUCCUUGUAUAACUGCAACCUAUAUUACUUCUGUCGACAACUCCUCCUGAGUAUUGGCGAAUGCUCGAUCCCUACUGGAAUGGAACAGGACGUCCCCUGAGCCGUUAUUUCCUUCCAGAUGGAAUUCAGACUGCAGAACCAGAUGACAGGAUAUGGGGUGGUCAUGAGUCUUUGUAAAGUUCAUGAAUGAAUUCGACUUACUACAUGUUGAAUUGAACUCUUAAAAGGGAAAAAUAAGUUUGUAAAAAGAACCACAAACUCAACAAGGCUCACCUUUCAGCUUGAAGCAUGGGCAGCAUAUUUUUCCUACAUAAUGCAAAUAUUAUCUCUAAACAAGUUUUGAGAUUGGCGGAACCACGCACAUAUUCCAAAACAUAACAAGGGAGUGUUAGGAAAGCCCUAAGACGGUUUUCAAUAUACUCUUGGCUCAACUAAAAUAUCAAAAACAAAUAUCUCUAUAAUUGGAAAAUAACAAUUUUCAUCAAGUUUUGGAUUUCACGGGUAUUAUCAUGGAGUUUCACUCGUAAAUUUGUGAAAUUCCAUAAUAAUAACCAUAUUUUUCAUUCACAAUGAGACAAAUAAAAGCUAAUUUUACAUUAUGAAAACGAGCUGACAGAGCAAUUAUUAAUACCAUUUACAAUGGUUUGUGCUUUAUAAUAUUGACGACUAAAGAGAAAGAGAAGAAGUAUUGCAUACAAGGUUGAGAAUAAAAUAACAACUUAGAGAAACCUAUGUAAUUACACUUCUAAACAUAAAAAAGAGUCCUAUAAGUAACAAGAGUCCAAAAAUAACAAUUUGCAAUUUGUGCUUGAUGAAAUUGUUUGUUUAUUACUACUAAGUACUAUAGCUUACAUACAGUUUGAUAGUGGGAAGAUAGAUGUAAGUUACCACUACUAAUUUCGUCUUAAACUUUGGUCUCGAUGGGUGAUGAAGUUGUCUUUGGUGGUGGUGAAGUUGUCUCUGGUGGUAAUGAAGAAGUUGUCUCUGGUGGUAAUGAAGAAGUCGUCUCUGGUUGUGAAGAAUUUGUCUCUGCUGGUGAUGAAGUAGUCUCUGGUGAUGCGCUUUCCUCUGAAAACUUGAAGGCGGUGGUUACAUCUGUCAAGAAUUUUAGGUGGAUCAUGCCCUGGGCUCCUGAACGUUUUCGUAAGUUGAUCAUUUCCUUUGAACUUGUUUUAUUCCUUUUAAUUGCUGCUAAGGCCAAUUUUAUGACAAUUAUUGCAGCAGCCUUUCGAUCUAAUGCUAGGCUUCACCACAUAUUUCAUGCACACAUCCUAUAUAUGAUUUUGGAGGAAAAACACGGGAGAAUUGUGUUUCUAUAGAUAGAUACGUAAUAUCAAUGAGUUAAAAUUGAUUUUUUUGUGACUUGUAUGCUAAUUAGAGGUUUGUAUACUGUUGUAUUCAAUUGGGUUUUCGUUAUUUCUUAAUGGGUAUAAAGUUUAGUAUUGGGUUGAUAAUCAAUUUGUGUUUUUUGGGUAAACAGGACAUUGUUUUAGCAAACAAGACAUUGUUAUAUUGAUUUUAUGCUUGCCAUAGGAAUGUGGUAACCUUGAAUCUGGCCCAAUAGCAUUUCACUGGAAUUGGCUCUUUUUUGUGCAGUACUAAUUUUGUCGCACAUUAAUAGAGAUAUACUACUUGUGCUUUUAUCUCUUUGUUGUUUGACGAUAUAUGCAGCUAGCCGGGACUCGAUGGGUGAUGAAGUUGUCUCUCUGUUCCUCCGCACAUGGACGCUUUCCUCUGAAAACUUGAAGUCCAUGGUUACAUCUGUCAAGAAUUUUAGGUGGAUCAUGCCCUGGGAUCCUAGUACGUUUUCGUAAGUUGAUCAUUUCCUUUGAACUUGUUUUAUUUCUUGGUAUUAAUUGCUGCCAAGGCCAAUUUCAUUCCUAUCAUAAUUAUUGUAGCAGCCUUUUCGAGUUCAAUUAUGGGUAUUUCUAUCUAAUGCUAGGCUUCACCACAUAUUUCUAAUCCUAUGAUUUUGGAGGAAAAAAGAAUUGUGUUUCGUAAAAAGUAGUUGCAUGCCUUGCUGAUGAUGUGAAGGCAUUUGGUUAGGGCUUUUGUAUCAGAAAACAUCCUUUCUUAACAUCCUCCCUCUCUCUAUCCCAUUUUCUUUGAUUCCCAAAAACUUUUAGGCUACACAAGUUCAUCAGUAGUAACAUUUUUUGACUUAAAAUAUUCAAGUGUUUUUUGGAUUCAUGCUCAAUCCUCAAACUUAUACUUGUGCAGGUACAGUUUAUGAAAUUUAUUUUGGCGCAGCUUUUUUUAACUACAUCCAUGAUAGCCAAAACAAUAUUAUAAGUUUUUCCUCUUGAAACAAAUUUCUUUCUUGUUUGAUGAUAUAUGCAGCUAGACGGCCCCCGAUGGCUAAUUCUAGCCAACCCAACCACAUUAUCCUUUUAUUAGUUUUAACAUGUAUGCGCAGAGAAAUUACCAAAAUUUCUUUGGAGACGACAAUUUUUAGUCAUUGUCUUGGUGUGCUCAAUGCUGUGUUUUUUUUGUAACUUCCAUUCCUUUUUUCUCAGGUGAAGGUGGUCUCAUUGUGGGUAUGGAUAUGUCGUUGUGGUAUAUAUUUGGUAGCAUUCCCCCAAUCUCCAUAAUCAUAGGCAUAAUGAUAUUACUCGGUGAUCCAACUGUUAACAAGUGGUUGCUGAUUCCCGACACGAUUCUCAUGUUUUUGGGGGGCAUGUUUACUCAUCCGGCUCUGCUGGCAUCUAUUAUUUAUUGGUAUCGUGACAUGCCUUUCCGUUUAAUUGGUGCCAAGGCCAAAUUUAAGCUCGAGGUCAUUCCUAUGAUAAUUGCAGCAGCCUUUCAUCACCUUUUGGAGUUCAAUUAUGGGUAUUUCUGUCUAAUACUAGGCAUCACGACGUAUUUCUAUACCAUUGCGCACUUCAUGCGCGCGGCAUAUGAUAUAGGAGGAAAAGACGUAUUGUUGGGAUUAGUAAUGUUGGUUCUUGCUUACUUUCUCAAGGGAGGAUUGUUAGUUAGAGGUUUGGGUUUUGAGCUUGUGUGUUGUAUUGUGUUUCUAUAGAUAUGUGACGUAUUCUGCUCCUGAAGUACCUGAGCAUGGUAAAAAGGAUUUGGAGCAGUUGCCUUGCUGACUGAGGACCAACCCAUCCAGAAUACGGACCAACGGUACUUCUAUGGCUCUUCUCAUUACCUUACUUGGUGUUACUGUAAUAUAUUUGUUGUCGGCCUUUAUGAUUUCAC
rnacentral:lncRNA from 1 species